rnacentral:ncRNA from 2 species
AUAUAUUUGUCACAGUUUUGUUCCGUCGGGCUUCCGAUUGGUAUAUGCGAGGCCACGGAUGAAAAGGGAAUCGGGUGAAAGUCCCGGACAGUCCCGCUGCUGUAAGCUCCUUUGUAAAGGUUUGUUUACUACUUCAGGCCACUGCUUUCUUCUGUUUGAGAAAGUGGGAAGGCAUAACAAACCGGAGUAAGUCAGAAGACCUGCAAAACGAAAUCAUGCUUG